rnacentral:lncRNA from 1 species
CUUGCGGAGACUGGGCGCAGGGCGUGGGGGUCAGUGAGGGCGCGGUGGGUCAGCCCCAGCCCGGCUGGCAGUCGCGGGGCUGGGAAGGUAGGGAACCCUCCGCUCUCACCCCACUUCCUGUUUGGUCGGUGUGUUCUGUGACCAUAGAUGGUCAAGUCUGGGGCCGCGCGGAAGCCUCCGCCCUGUGGUUUUGGAGCCCUUCCUCCCGGCGCGCAGGGUGUGGUCCCCGAGAAUAAGAUGAGCAGAAUUAAAGCAGAUCCUGCACCCACUCUGCUGAAAUCCGGCUUCUGAGGCAGCCUCGCCCAGGGCUGGGUGGGCUCAGGCGGCUGCUACUCGGUUCAGGGGAGGUUACGCACGGUGGCUGCCGCGCGCAGGGGAGGCUUCGCUUCCGUACUCCUUGGGCCGGGAGAUCCGAUCUUUGUUCCCUCAAGACUCACACUCUCCAACCGGUCAUUAUCCUCCCACAAAGAUUUAUUUCUAGAAAAAAUUGGCAAGUGCCACAGUUCCCGCCCCUUCAGCUGAACGACUGUGACAGCUCCGUGUUUCAAGUUGAAUGCAGGCGUUAUGUGCCAGAGUCAAUCAUUCAACAAAUAAAGUUCUUAAAAUAACAGCUACCAUUUACUGCACGCUGACUACUUGCCAGGCCCAUGCUGAGUUCUUCAAGCGUAUUUUCAUUUACUCCUAAUAGCAACUCUCGGUGAGACAGAAGGAACAUAGACCAUACACGCAUUCUAGAGGAAGAGGAGAGAGAAGAGGAAGCAGGAAGGAGAAUGAAGAAAGUUUCCUCAUCAGUCUCUCUUGCAGAUAACUAUGGCCGUGUGCCUGAGAUCUGGCCAAUGGAAUCGUGGACAGUUCUCCAUGCUCUUUCUCCUUCUGUGGCAACUCUGAAUGUCGUGUGUUCAAGAUGAAGACAGAAGAUAGAAUGACCUUGGGUCUCUGAAUCAUUGCUUGGAGAAGAGCAAUUUACUGAUCAGUGGUGUGAAAAUAAGUAAUUCAAAAUCUAAGCUAUUGGGCCAGGUGCAGUGGCUCACGCCUGUAACCCCAGCACUUUGGGAAACCAAGGCAGGUGGAUCAUUUGAGGUCAGGAGUUCGAGACCAGCCUGGCCAACAGGGUGAAACCCCGUCGCUACUAAAAAUACAAAAAAUUAGCCGGGCAUGGUGGCAUACGCCUGUGGCCCCAGCUACUUGGGAGGCUAGGGCACGAGAAACACUUAAGCCCAGGAGGCGGAAGUUGCAGUGAGCCAAGACUGCACCACUGCAUGCUAGCCUGGGCAAGAGAGCAAGACUCUGCCUCA